GGCAGUUUGCUUGGGUUGAACUGCUGCCCCUGCAUAUCUGAGCACCACAGGGCUUUUUCCACAUUAAAAUGGAAGAUCUGUCUGCAGAGAUGUGAGCACAGCAGACAGGAGCAGAUACCUCUGUGGUCUACAACAAGAGAAGCUAUUUGUCCUGAGUGCAGCAGUGAGCAGUGAGGGUCUGAGUCAUGUGGACCAUGAACAGGCUCCUGGGACCUGCUUGAAUCCUGAACAUGGCAACCUUUUAAACAAGGCUACUGUCCCAGGACACUUACACCUUGAUGUGAAAAUCAAUUCAUGUAUUUAGUUAGCAUUUACUUUUGUUCCAGCAGUAAGGGAAAAAAAUGAGGUACCAAAAGUAGUUUUUUAUAAACCAACAGCUUGGAGCAAUUUGUGUCUGAGUAUUUAAAAGAACAAAUAAGAUCCCAUCUAUUAAUUCCUAGAAAGCAGAGGCUCACCAACAUCUGCAACAGGCUGCAUUCUGAUCUCAGUGACAUGAAGACACAUCAGGAAUCUCCUCAGGUAAUCAUUGGCCAUCAACAGCAGUGGUCAUCAACACUGACCUUCCCUACUCUGUGGAGAGCUAGUCCUGAGCAUCCAC
rnacentral:lncRNA from 1 species